rnacentral:rRNA from 1 species
UACGUAGGGUGCAAGCGUUAAUCGGAAUUACUGGGCGUAAAGCGUGCGCAGGCGGUUUUGUAAGUCUGUUGUGAAAUCCCCGGGCUCAACCUGGGAAUGGCAAUGGAGACUGCAAGGCUAGAGUUUGGCAGAGGGGGGUAGAAUUCCACGUGUAGCAGUGAAAUGCGUAGAGAUGUGGAGGAAUACCGAUGGCGAAGGCAGCCCCCUGGGCCAAUACUGACGCUCAUGCACGAAAGCGUGGGGAGCAAACAGG